GAUGGAGCAACGCCGCGUGAGUGAAGAAGGCUUUCGGGUCGUAAAACUCUGUUGUUGGAGAAGAAUGGUCGGCAGAGUAACUGUUGUCGGCGUGACGGUAUCCAACCAGAAAGCCACGGCUAACUACGUGCCAGCAGCCGCGGUAAUACGUAGGUGGCAAGCGUUAUCCGGAUUUAUUGGGCGUAAAGCGAGCGCAGGCGGUUUUUUAAGUCUGAUGUGAAAGCCCUCGGCUUAACCGAGGAAGUGCAUCGGAAACUGGGAAACUUGAGUGCAGAAGAGGACAGUGGAACUCCAUGUGUAGCGGUGAAAUGCGUAGAUAUAUGGAAGAACACCAGUGGCGAAGGCGGCUGUCUGGUCUGUAACUGACGCUGAGGCUCGAAAGCAUGGGUAGCGAACAGGAUUAGAUACCCUGGUAGUCCAUGCCGUAAACGAUGAAUGCUAGGUGUUGGAGGGUUUCCGCCCUUCAGUGCCGCAGCUAACGCAUUAAGCAUUCCGCCUGGGGAGUACGACCGCAAGGUUGAAACUCAAAGGAAUUGACGGGGGCCCGCACAAGCGGUGGAGCAUGUGGUUUAAUUCGAAGCAACGCGAAGAACCUUACCAGGUCUUGACAUCU
rnacentral:rRNA from 2 species